CGCCUGUCGGGACCCGAAAGAUGGUGAACUAUGCCUGAGCGGGGCGAAGCCAGAGGAAACUCUGGUGGAGGCUCGAAGCGAUACCACCGUGCAAAUCGUUCGUCUGACUUGGGUAUAGGGGCGAAAGACUAAUCGAACCAUCUAGUAGCUGGUUCCCUCCGAAGUUUCCCUCAGGAUAGCUGGAGCCCAUUACGAGUUCUAUCAGGUAAAGCCAAUGAUUAGAGGC
rnacentral:ncRNA from 1 species